UCGAUCUUCAAAGUUAUGUUCCUGGUACUUCUUCAUAGUUGCAGUCUGCACUUGGCACCAAGAAAAGACCUUUUCAUUUGUUUGGUGACUAAUAGCAUGUGUGUCAUGAGCUGGAGUUUACCUUUGUGUUUGAAAACUUGUAUACAUAUAUUACAGUUUUGCCUUUCACCAUUGUUCAUUGAAAUAUGCUAUAUUCUUUUCCAUUGUAGGUGAAUUGAUCCUUCCAAGCCCAAGAGGAUGCAGGUACUCCGCUGGCAGAUCCUUCCCAUGCUGAAGGCCAUGUUCAUGCUACUCAUCUGGAUGAGCAUGGUUCUACCCCAAGACAGGAUAUAUACCAUUUGUUGCACUACAGUUGGUAUAUAGCAAGAUGGAUAAGAAAUACCCAAGAGCUUCUUCCUUUUCAAGAUUAGAAGAUGGAUGAUAGUGAUACGGUAAGUUGUUGUUAUGAUCCCCAAUUCCUCUAUGCACAAACUUAACAAUGGUUCUGAUCAUGUUACUUCUAUGGUUAGCAAAGUAAACUGCAGCUGAAUUAUACAAGUAGAGCAAUGUAGUAUAGUGCAUGUAAGAUUGUGGUGUCAUCAAAACAGGGAUGCAUUAAACUAGUUCAUGUGUUAAUAAUUUAUGAUAUGAAACAAUCUAUUUAAUCAGUGCCUGUGUAUUUCAAUUAGUGGUUGCUGCUUGUUUAUGUGCUGCUCUGUUUCUUUCUGUGUAAAUGUGGUGCUAGUUCUGUCCUUGUAGUGUAGUGCCAGUGCAGUGCACAACUGCAUAUAUAUGUCUUUUACACAUAUUUGCUCUGACUGUGCUAUAGGUCUUGUUGAUGAUUUGCACAUAAACCUAACUGUUUGUCGCACUAUAGAUGCUAUAUAGCAAGCUGGAAUGGUUUCGAAUGUGCAUGGUAUUGACAUUUUAUUCAUGUAUUAAAAUAUUUGACAACCUCAACAAGUAGAGGAGCAAGUUCAAGUACGAAAGGUGCAUGGUCUUGGCUUUCAGUUUGGAUUGGAUUAUAAACAUUUAUUUUAUUUCCUUUUCUUCCUUGUACGUUAUGUUCCUGUUAGCUCUUCAUAAGUGCAGCCUACACUUAGCUUUAAUAAAAGACUUCUUCACUUGCUUGGUGGAUAACAACAUGUGUGUGUCGUGAACUGAAGUUUCCUUUUGGUUUGUAAACUUGUUCAUGCUGCCCAAGUGUUUGUGUAUUUCAGUUAGUGGUUGCUGCCUUCUUAAGUGGCUGUGUACUGCAACCAUGUAGUCAGUAUAACUUAGUUCAUGAUUUAAGUUGUCAUACAAAAUUAAAUAUGUUCUCUGUACAUGUUAGCUUAUAAUUUUAGGAAAUGAUUCACUAUGACUGGUGAGAUCCAUUUAUAGAUCAUUUAGAGUUUCUAAUUUCUAUUCCAGUCAGUUUUCAUUAAUGUGUUCUUGCAACAAAAAAACAUUGUCUUAAACUCUUAAUAUUAUAUCUAAGGACUGCAUUUAUGAGUAUGUCUCCAGUUAUUCUAAUUUUCUUCAUGAAUACAGCUUCUGAGAAGAAAUCGUUCGAGGUACUGGGCGUAGUGGUGAUGGAGACAUAUAGACUUGUAAGACCCUUGGGUGGGCGAACGCCCUUGAGCACCUCCACUUGAACUUCUGGUGAGCAAGUCUGUAAGGAACCACCCCAGGACAGUUCUAGUCAUAUUAGUCUUUUCUUAUCAGCUAGCUUUGCAUCGUCUGCUUCCUUCUUGUUUUUGACAUAUUCAAGAUGAUGAAUUUUCAGAUUACCUUGCAGCUUGUUUAGGCUCCCCAACUGUUUUAGCUCAUGCCCAUGUUUUGUCCUUACUUGAGAUACAUCAAGUUCUUGUAGUAAUGUUAAACUACCGAUGUUCGGAACUUGCAUUGCAAAGCUAUAAAUAUGACGCUUACUGCUAGUUUUCUACAUGUAGUGCUAGUUCUGUACAUGCAGUUUAGUGCUUGUCAUACUUAGAUUUUUCCUAUGAAGUGAUGAUUUUUUUUGCUACCACGUAAAGUUGUGAAGGUGGUUGGUCAUGAAAAAUUUUCAUUUGCCAUAAAAACUAUGGGUAUAGGGCAUUGGAUGGCAAUCAUUUAUUUUUUCUUGCCUUUUUUUAAUUAUGUUCAUGUUACAUUUAAUUGCAUCCUAUACUUGGUAAUAAGAAAAGUCAUGAGCUGUAGUUUACCUUUUGGUUUGAAAGCUUGUACAUAUCACAGUUUUGCCUUUCACCGUUGUUCAUUAAAAUCUCCUAUAUUUUUCUAUUGUAUAGGUGAAUGGAACAUUCCAAGCCCAAGGGAAUGCACUCCAUUAACAGAAUCUUCCCAUGAUGGAAGACCAUCCUCAUGCUACUCAUGUGCAUGAGCAUAGUUCUACUCCAACAUUUAGAAAUUCCAGUAGUAUAAUUAGUUGUUAAUAUUGUGAAAUAGGGUGUAGGUAGGCUUUCUUUGUCAAUUGCUUCUCUUGGCAAUUUAGGAAUCAACCAGUAUGCGUGUUUCAUAUUUGGUGACACCUCCUGUUAAGUUAAGGCUCCAUGAAUCAUGACUUGGAUAUGAAUAUGUAGAUCUUGUGAAUAACGAGAUUUAAAUAAAUUGGAUGGGUACAUUGUGACCUAGGAAUUGGAUGUGAUUUUAAACAGGGUUAUAUGAUCUUUGUGUAUGCAUGAAUGUGAAAUGAUUU
rnacentral:lncRNA from 1 species